GACGUAGGGCGCGAGCGUUGUCCGGAUUUAUUGGGCGUAAAGAGCUCGUAGGCGGCUUGUCGCGUCGUCCGUGAAAACCUGCAGCUCAACUGCAGGCUUGCGGUCGAUACGGGCAGGCUAGGGUUCGGUAGGGGAGACUGGAAUUCCUGGUGUAGCGGUGAAAUGCGCAGAUAUCAGGAAGAACACCCGUGGCUAAGGCGGCUCUCUAGUACGGUACUGACGCUGAGACGCGAAAGCGUGGGGAGCGAACAGG
rnacentral:rRNA from 1 species